CUUGAUGGCGAGCCAGGUCUUCCAGUGGAGGUGGCGCACCUUGUACACCUGCCCGAAGCCCCCCGAGCCGAUCUUCUCCCAGCUGCCGAACUCGCUCUCCUCGAAGGCUCUCAGCAGCCCCACGGCCCAGGGGGAGCCGCUGUCCCGCGACAUGGCUGAGACCGACCCUGCCCUGCCCGGCCCGGCCCGGCUCGGCUCGGCUCGGCUCAGCACCGCCGCCCUCCCAGCGCCGGCCCAGGGCCUGCGUCCCUCUGGCACGAGGGAAACCCUUCAUCAACCCUUCAUCUGUAUCUCCCAGACCCAUCCUGCGGAGGAUGGAGGCUGCCCGGGCAUGUUAGGAGCAUUUCUUAGGCUCUGGGAAACUCUGCUGCCACGCACUCGUACCGCAGGACCGAUGGCCGAGGCGUAAUCAGUUGCUGAGACGCUGCAGCUGAAAAGGAGGGAGCCUGCAACCUUUGGUACAUAACGUAAUCCUAAGGAGGCUACUCCUAUCUGCAUCGUGACCUUCACGCCUAUCACAUGGCUAAAGCAGGAUCCAUGUGGAGGGACUUGUGUGCUCUCAAGAAGCUCUGCUUAAAUUGAAGAAAUUUGCAGAACCAGGGCCUUGGACACUGUGUCUUCUGGAGGUGUGCACGACCGACUUCCCAACAGUACACCAAAUGUUUUAUUCCACUAAUGAUACAUUACCAUUCAAACACCUCUUUCAUUAGACAGAUGGCAAAAACUGUAAAACAAAAUGAACUGUGCAAAACUCAGGUUGCAGUUGAGUUUAAGCAAGAAAUGGAUUGUGUACCUUCUACCUGUACUGUGAUUGGAGAGCUAAUUCAGCACACACCAGCAGCAAAGGAGAGCUCAUGACAGAACAUGAAAAGAGCUGGUCUAAGAGAAUUUAGAUUACUCAAGUGCUUUCAAAAAGGCUAGGCCUAAAUAAAAGCCACACUUAAGGUGCCUAGAGAACGGCUACUCAGCCUCAGAGGAUUUAGCUGGUGAAGUGUAGGAAAGCUGGAAAAGGGCACCAGAAGAGCUCCUCUUAAAGACGCACAAAAAGAUGGUGGCAAAGGAAUCCCAGAGCAGUCAGCUCCCCAGUUAAAAAUAAAUAAAACACGCUAGCAGAUAGCCAGGAUGGCAAAAAGCAGCCAAUACUAGAUUUAUUGAAAACAAAUCAUGUGAAACCAGCCUAAUGUAUCUUUCUGUGGCAAGGUAACCAACCUUGUUUAUCUUCUCCUCUCAUGUGCAUGUACGGGCAUCACAAAGAAAACUCCCCUUCUUACUCUUGUUUCUCUACUUGCGGUAUUUCUUGCUCCAGUCAGAGAACAGGAUUUCAUACAGUGCUUUAGCUUUUUCUUUUUUUACAAGGAUAUCCGUCUAAAGGUUUGCUUGAUGCAUGUGAAAUAAACCAGCCCAAAGCUUCAAAAGGUUGGUGGGCAUCUUGGCCCUUGUUACAGCUAAGAUGUUCUGUGAAGAGGCAGCAGAUUUUAACUAUGUAACACCAGCUUUAGAGCUGAUACAGAAGAGCACUGAUUUGCAAGCUUUCCAAAAGAUAAAACAAACAUCCAUUUAUUCAUCCACUCCUCAAACAUUUAAGCUGUGGCUUAGGUUUUUAUGCACAAACGGUGCAAUACUGCAGUUGGCUUAAGCUGAUCUAAAAUGACAUUAUUACUGAAGGAGGUUUGCCGUCCCCUCUUUUGUCUUGGCACUAGUGCUCACACACUAGUUGUACUAGCAUUCACAUGGUUGAACAGUAACUGAAUCAGCUCAGUAAUCUCACAUGAGGGGAAGAAAAAAAACAAACCACACCACUCCCUUUCUUAGUUUUCAGACAGGUGAGAAAGCUGGCCUGACUUACCACAAGCUCACUAAUGUCAACAGAGAGGGAGGCAAGCAGGCUGGAAGGGAACUACCUCCAAAGAAGGUGAUGAAAGGGGCACAGUUGCACAUGGUAGCAGAUGCAGUGGCAAACUCAGUUUAAGGAAUUCCUUGCUGAUCUCAUGUAAAGUGCACCCUCACAAAAAACAGAAUUGUGGUGUGGAGGUGGAAAUGAGCAGAAGGAAGAGGGUGGGGAUUCCUACACUAAAA